GUACUCCUUCUACUUAUUAAAAAAUUUACUGUAAAAUAAGUAUGCAGUGUUGUGCCAGAAGCAGCCUCAUACAUCUCAUGUUUACUAUAUCUCUAAAUCAAAUCAAGAGGCCACAUCAAGUGAUUGACCUAUGCCAUCUAGGUUUGUGUAAGUCCACUCUAUGAUGUUUGCAUGAUGACAGAAUCUUCUAGUCAUAAAUGUGGACCAUGUUCCCACUGUAAGCAACACGUGACUAUAAGAAGGACAUAGGUACCCUAGAGGCUAGAGAAUGAGUCUUGCUAGACCCCAGAGAGGCAUGCCUGGAAGGCCGGAGGCCUUUAGUGAUGGCUUUGCAUGCUCAGAUUAGCUCCUUUCCCAUCCCUAUUUCUCUCCAUCCACUUCUCUUCUCACUGUGGUGCUUUUUCUGUCCUAGAUCUUUCCCCUAAUUUUGGCUUGUUCACUACCCCUCAGAGGCCCUAUUCUAUCCUAUGAGCUCUUCUUACAUGUUAUUUCAACUUAAAUUUCUUAAUUAUUAAUUCACAUUUCUAAGAUUAGACCUCUUGGGAGCAUCCUAUGUUCAGCCCUCUCCUAGCUUCCAGGUUGAUCUGUGGAUUGGUGGUUCAAAUCAUGGAAUCUUCUUUAUAAAGAGAGUUAUGUUGGGGCUGGGAUUGUGGCUCAGCAGAAAAGCACUCGCCUAGCAUGCUCAGGGACCUGGGUUCGAUCCUCAGCACCACAUAAAAGUAAAAAUAAAUGAAUGGAAUGGAGGUGUUGUGUCCAACUACAACUAAAAAAUAAAUAAAUAUUAAAAACAAGAGAGAGAGAGAACUAUGACAUUGGUAGUGAGGUUAUGUGGACCAGCAAGUGGGCACUGUGCAUGAGGUUGUGAGGUAGUAGAGUGCUCUCAAGUCCUCCAGCCUUGGAUAAGAUUGUCUCAGGAACCAUGUGAAGGCAUUCUGGGAGAAGCUAGUGAUGUCAGGCACCAUGCCUCCUAUAUCUUCAUUUUAUUGACUUAUAUAUGAACUUGUGAAGUGUAGAUGCUUAGGGGAAAAACCAGCCACUGAACUCACAGAAGCUUGACAGUGAGGCUUUGUGGUUUCAGGUAUCUCUGGGCUAUACUUUUAUCCACAGUGUCAUGUACAUAGCCCUGUUGUGCCAGAGCAGUGGGAAAAAUUACUAAAAGACCAAAUAAAAUGCCUGGACAUGACAUGCAAAUUUUAUGCUUUACUGAGAAAUGCUUACAGGGAAGGUCCAGAGGCAAAAGACUGGAAAGGUGCUUUGCCAGAAAGUCCAGUGGUGACAGGCUGGGCAGAUGAACCUCUGCUACACACAGUGUUUCCGGUACCUUGCAGAGAAUAGUGCCUGCUAUCCCUCUCCACUCUUUGUCCAGGGGCAGCCACCUGGAUGAGCACUUCUGCCUCCAAAUUGCUCUGAUCUGCACCAGUUACUAGAGGAGGAGGGGGUUUAUAGGUUAGGUUACAGAAACAGCGACAUCAACAUUAGCUUGGUUAGGUUGCAUGUAUGACCAACACCCCAAGGAGCAACUACCCUGGUGUACAUGUAGAAAGCAACUUUCUUCUAAUAAUGUUAAAUUUUCCUUUUUCCCAGCGUGCAUGAGAGAAAGUCAGUGUCCUUCAAGAUAACAUGUACCUAGAUAUUCCAGUCCAGGCUUGCUCUCAUUGCUUCUUUAACCUGCACAUGUUUGGACAAGCUUAUAGACUUUUGAUAAGGGCAAGGGUCUGAUGAAAUCAUCCUGCCACUAUUGUUUCAUUCUUCCCUCCUGAGCUAUACACUUCAUCACAUAAGACAUUGGUCAUGUCUGUUCUGAGGCCACCACCACAGCCUUGUCUAAAACCAUCAUGGUAUCUAGAAAAAUCCAAUUCAUAGGGCUGUUCUUGGAAUACUCUGCUCAAGGUUUAUAAUUUCGGUGUGUGUGUGUGUAUUUAAUGUGCUCAUGUUCCCAGUCCCACUUUAUUUAUUUACUAAAUGGCACAGUGGUCUUAACAUCUGUGCUAAAUAUGGAGUGAAGGGGCUUAAUGAUUCCAAAUGAGAUGCAUCUUUUUGGGAGUAGUCAGGGUAAAGAAAGCUUAAAUUUUACCUAUGAGAGAAGCUGGUACCACUGAAGUCUUAUCCAACCAAAUAACCCCAAGUAUUUGAUAGCCCAAGUUUUUGCAACUUGGAGAUGUGACUGCCCAUCCUUUCUCUGGGAAAUGCCCC
rnacentral:lncRNA from 1 species